UGCUAGAAGGCGUCGAGCGGCGGACGGGUGAGUAAUGCAUGGGAAUCUGCCCGAUAGUGGGGGACAACCUGGGGAAACUCAGGCUAAUACCGCAUACGUCCUACGGGAGAAAGCAGGGGAUCUUCGGACCUUGCGCUAUCGGAUGAGCCCAUGUCGGAUUAGCUUGUUGGUGAGGUAAUGGCUCACCAAGGCGACGAUCCGUAGCUGGUCUGAGAGGAGUCAUUCCACCCACACGGGGGGACUGAGACACCCGCCCCAGAUCUCCUAGCGGGAGGCCAGCAGGGGGGAAUAUUUGGACCAAUGGGCGAAAAACCCUGAUCCCAGCCAUGCCGCGGGUGUGGAAAGAAGGCCUUUCGGGUUGUAAAAGCACUUUCAGCGAGGAAGAACGCCUUGGGAUUAAUACUCCCGAGGAAAGACAUCACUCGCAGAAGAAGCACCGGCUAACUCCGUGCCAGCAGCCGCGGUAAUACGGAGGGUGCAAGCGUUAAUCGGAAUUACUGGGCGUAAAGCGCGCGUAGGUGGCUAAGUCAGCCAGGUGUGAAAGCCCCGGGCUCAACCUGGGAACGGCAUCUGGAACUGCUUGGCUAGAGUGCAGGAGAGGAAGGUAGAAUUCCCGGUGUAGCGGUGAAAUGCGUAGAGAUCGGGAGGAAUACCAGUGGCGAAGGCGGCCUUCUGGACUGACACUGACACUGAGGUGCGAAAGCGUGGGUAGCAAACAGGAUUAGAUACCCUGGUAGUCCACGCCGUAAACGAUGUCAACUAGCCGUUGGGUCCCUUGAGGACUUAGUGGCGCAGCUAACGCAAUAAGUUGACCGCCUGGGGAGUACGGCCGCAAGGUUAAAACUCAAAUGAAUUGACGGGGGCCCGCACAAGCGGUGGAGCAUGUGGUUUAAUUCGAUGCAACGCGAAGAACCUUACCUACCCUUGACAUCCAGAGGACUUUCCAGAGAUGGAUUGGUGCCUUCGGGAACUCUGAGACAGGUGCUGCAUGGCUGUCGUCAGCUCGUGUUGUGAAAAGGUUGGGGUUAAAUCCCGUAACGAGCGCAACCCCCUAUCCUUAUUUGCCAGCGAGGAAAGGUCGGGAAAUCUAAGGGGAGACUGCCGGUGACAAACCCGAGAGAAGGGGGGGACGAAAAAUCAAGUCAUCAUGGGCCCUUACGGGUAGGGCUACCACACGUGCUACAAUGGCAAGGAACAAAAGGGUGGGUGCAAUACGGCGACGUGGAGCCAAUCCCAUAAAGCUUGCCUCAGUCCGGAUUGGAGUCUGCAACUCGACUCCAUGAAGUCGG
rnacentral:rRNA from 1 species